UGACAAUACUAGGUUACCAAAGCAGAAUUAGUUGAAUAAACGUCUUUUUUCAUUUUAUUUGAAAUUGGCUUUUGUAUUGGCAUAAAUUGACUAAGAAUAAAAAGCUGAUAGAAAAAAUGGAUAUACUAACACCCCAACGCAAAAGCUCCAUCCCACAAAUGAGUUUGCAUAGAUUAAUACUUGCUCUACAAAUGCGUUGGAUAAUCUGAUAUUAUUAAUAAACUAUUUGCGCAUAGUUUUUGAAAUUAUUCAGGGCGAACUGGGUUGAUUAAUUUACGCAAACGUAUACAUUCCAAGAACGCAUUUGAGCAAAUGCAACGAAUACGUAGCAAAAGAGACGUAAGUUAUAUUGGAGGAGUCUCGUUCUCAACUCAUCUUCAGUUUACCUAUAUACUGGUGUUGUUUACAGUAUUGCGUCUAUAUUGUAAAACGACAAUACUCAUCAUUUUCUAGUAUGGUUAAGUAAUAGUCGAGAACAAAAGCACACGAGAACAGAGGAAUGUCCGUCACAUCAAGAAAUCAAGUAUUAAUGAAAAUGUUUCAUCCAAGCAACC